CGGCGCGGCCAUGAUGGCGGGCGGUGCCGGCCGGGAGGGGCUCGGAGCCGGGUGGCGGGACCCGGACCCGACCUCAGCACCGACCCCGGCCUCGACCCCCUCUUUGUCUCUGGCCUCGGAGUCUCUCGAACUCCUGCAGGACCUGACCGGCGAUGGAGGGGUGCGCAAGCAGCAGCUGCGCCCCGGCACCGGGCAGCCCGUGCCGCCAUCCUCCUCCGUGGCAGUGAAGUACUCUGGGUACCUGGGAAAUUGGAAUAAGCUCUUCUGUUCAAAUGGGAACAGCAAGUAUCCAAGGCUGAUGAAACUUGGAAAAGACAUCACACUGUGGGGGCUGGAGAUCGGGCUGCUGUCUAUGACCAAAGGCGAGGCUGCACUGUUCGUCCUUGCUCCAGAAUACGCCUACGGCCAGCGGGGCUGUCCCCCCUCCAUCCCCCCAAACACCACGGUCCUCUUCAAGGUGGAGGUGUUGGACUUCAUCGAUUCAGAGGAGUGCGACGCCUUCUUUGAGUUGACUUAUGAACAGCGGGAUAGACUUCCUCUAGAAAAGCUAUUGAAAGUGGCAGCCACAGAGAGAGAGUUUGGCAACUACUUCUUCUAUAAGCAGUGCUUCAAGAUUGCCAAGGACAGAUACAAGAGGGCGCUCUCCAUCCUGGAUUGCAGCUCUUCCAGUAAGGCAGAGCAGAGCCAGAUCAACGCUUCCAAACUGCUGCUGUUCCUGAAUCUCUCACUCACUUACCUGAAACUGGAACGUGCUGACCGAGCUUUGAAAUACGGGGAAUUAGCCUUGGAGAUGGACCAAGGAAAUGCCAAAGCGCUGUUCAGGUGUGGCCAGGCUUGUCUCUACAUGAAGGAGUACAGCAAAUCCCGGGAUUUCCUGGCCAGAGCUCAGUGCAUCCAGCCCUUCAACCGUGAUAUCAACAAUGAGCUGAAGAAGUUGGCAAGAUACCACAAGGAGUACAUGGAAACAGAGAAAGAAAUGUGCUGCCAGAUGUUUGACCCUCUCAAUUCUUACGGCUGAGAAGAAAUCAAGAGCUGAAAUGUCCCUCCCCACUGCGGCUGAACAACAGAGAACCAGCGAUUCACUGCUCGUUUAGAAUAUGCAAAUUCCUGUCCCACUGAGGUGCCUUGUGCUGCAGAGGAAAUUGUUACAUCUCUGCUUUCUGCUGAGCCUUCCCAGGUUCAGGAUGGUAGUGCAUGUCAUCGGCAUUCAGGGCUUUUGGAGUCAAGACUUGUUACAGAUCUCUGGAGAAUUCUUCCUGCCACAGAGUGUCUAUCUAGCAUACACACAGCUCUUGGAACUCACUGUGGAUCAUUUGCAGAGCUGAGAAUCUUGGUAAAUUAACUUGGAAAAAAAAGUCCUGAGGAAAAAAUAUGUGACUGUUGCAGCCGUCCACCUUUUGGCACAUGGAGAUCUCAGCAUCACAUACAAGUUUUGGGAGAAGGGGCAG